rnacentral:rRNA from 1 species
CCUACGGGGGGCAGCAGUGAGGAAUAUUGGUCAAUGGCCGGAAGGCUGAACCAGCCAAGCCGCGUGCAGGACGAAGGUGCCAAGCAUUGUAAACUUCUUUUGUCAAGGGACAAAAUCAGGCUCGAGAGCCUGACCGAGGGUACUUGAAGAAAAAGCAUCGGCUAACUCCGUGCCAGCAGCCGCGGUAAUACGGAGGAUGCGAGCGUUAUCCGGAUUUAUUGGGUUUAAAGGGUGCGUAGGCGGAUCGUUAAGUCAGUGGUCAAAUUGAGGGGCUCAACCCCUUCCCGCCAUUGAAACUGGCGCUC